rnacentral:rRNA from 1 species
GGGAUUGCCUCAGUAACGGCGAGUGAAGCGGCAACAGCUCAAAUUUGAAAUCUGGCCCUUUCGGGGUCCGAGUUGUAAUUUAUAGAGAGUGUUUCGGGUGAGAUCACGGUCUAAGUCCAUUGGAACAUGGCGUCAUAGAGGGUGAGAAUCCCGUAUGUGACUGUGGAUCGAUCCCAUGUGAAGCCUCUUCGACGAGUCGAGUUGUUUGGGAAUGCAGCUCAAAAUGGGUGGUAAAUUUCAUCUAAAGCUAAAUACUGGCUGGAGACCGAUAGCGCACAAGUAGAGUGAUCGAAAGAUGAAAAGCACUUUGGAAAGAGAGUCAAACAGUACGUGAAAUUGUUGAAAGGGAAGCGCUUGCAACCAGACCUGUCCGUAGGUGAUCAGCCGCUGUUCUCAGUGGUGCACUCGCUCUGCGAUCAGGCCAGCAUCGGUUUCGGCGGUCGGAUAAAGGCCUUGGGAAUGUAGCUCCUCCCGGGGAGUCUUAUAGCCCUCGGUGCAAUGCGGCCAGCCGGGACCGAGGACCGCGCUUCGGCUAGGAUGCUGGCGUAAUGGUUGUAAGCGACCCGUCUUGAAACACGGACCAAGGAGUCUAACAUCUAUGCGAGUGUUUGGGUGUCAAACCCAUGCGCGGAAUGAAAGUGAACGGAGGUGAGAACCCUCAAGGGCGCAUCAUCGACCGAUCCAGAUGUCUUCGGAUGGAUUUGAGUAUGAGCAUAGCUGUUGGGACCCGAAAGAUGGUGAACUAUGCCUGAAUAGGGUGAAGCCAGAGGAAACUCUGGUGGAGGCUCGCAGCGGUUCUGACGUGCAAAUCGAUCGUCAAAUUUGGGUAUAGGGGCGAAAGACUAAUC